UACAUGGGGUGCAAACGUUGCUCGGAAUUAUUGGGCGUAAAGCGCGUGUAGGCGGUCCGGUAAGUCCGCUGUGAAAGUCAAGGGCUCAACCCUUGAAUGCCGGCCGAUACUGUCAGGCUAGAGUGCGGUAGGGGAGACUGGAAUUCCUGGUGUAGCGGUGAAAUGCGCAGAUAGUCAGGAGGAACACCGGUGGCGAAGGCGGGUCUCUGGGCCGUAACUGACGCUGAGGAGCGAAAGCAUGGGGGAGCGAACAGG
rnacentral:rRNA from 1 species